AGCAGCCGCGGUAAUUCCAGCUCCAAUAGCGUAUAUUAAAGUUGUUGCAGUUAAAAAGCUCGUAGUUGAAUUUCGGGAUUAGUAGUCUGGUCGUGCCACUGGUAUGUACUGGUCUUACUGAUUUCUCCUUCUUGAAGAACCGUAAUGUCAUUAAUUUGGUGUUGCGGGGAAUCUGGACUGUUACUUUGAAAAAUUAGAGUGUUUAAAGCAGGCUAACGCUUGAAUACAUUAGCAUGGAAUAAUGAAAUAGGACGAUCGAUCCUAUUUUGUUGGUUUCUAGGAUUGACGUAAUGAUUAAUAGGGAUAGUUGGGGGCAUUAGUAUUCAAUUGUCAGAGGUGAAAUUCUUGGAUUUAUUGAAGACUAACUACUGCGAAAGCAUUUGCCAAGGAUGUUUUCAUUAAUCAAGAACGAAAGUUAGGGGAUCGAAGACGAUCAGAUACCGUCGUAGUCUUAACCAUAAACUAUGCCGACUAGGGAUCGGAUGAUGUUAAUUCUAUAUGA
rnacentral:rRNA from 1 species